GACGAACGCUGGCGGCGUGCUUAACACAUGCAAGUCGAACGGAAAGGCCCUGCUUUUGUGGGGUGCUCGAGUGGCGAACGGGUGAGUAACACGUGAGUAACCUGCCCUUGACUUUGGGAUAACUUCAGGAAACUGGGGCUAAUACGGGAUAGGAGCUCCUGCUGCAGGGGGGGGGUUGGAAAGUUUCGGCGGUUGGGGAUGGACUCGCGGCUUAUCGGCUUGUUGGGGGGGUAGUGGCUUACCAAGGGUUUGACGGGUAGCCGGCCUGAGAGGGUGACCGGCCACAUUGGGACUGAGAUACGGCCCAGACUCCUACGGGAGGCAGCAGUGGGGAAUAUUGCACAAUGGGCGGAAGCCUGAUGCAGCAACGCCGCGUGCGGGAUGACGGCCUUCGGGUUGUAAACCGCUUUCGCCUGUGACGAAGCGUGAGUGACGGUAAUGGGUAAAGAAGCACCGGCUAACUACGUG
rnacentral:rRNA from 1 species